AUGAACAGCGAGCAGUUAAGAACUCAUUUGCAUAGCAUGGUUUACCUCAUCAGAAUCACCAAUUUCAUGGCUGCAUAUGAUCUUAAAAGCUGUUGCAAGUUUCAAAAGGUCCCAGUUCUCACAGUCAAUGCCAGAAACAUUCUUAAGGUGGCGACCAAUAGCUUGAAAGUUUUCAUACUGUUUCUUCUCAAAAGCAUCACAAUCAAACAAGACAGAUGCAGUCGCAACAAUCUGCUCAUUGACCUGGAUACAAAGAGGUUGCCAUCACUGAAACAAGAAUGCAAUGCCAUUUUAUUCUACAAAAUAUUGCGUCCAAAGGUUUGGUCUGUGAAAUGA
rnacentral:rRNA from 1 species